AAAAUCCGUCGACUUUUAAAAUCGUGAGG
rnacentral:tRNA from 5 species